CUUACAAAGUAAAGCUAGCAAUACGUUUACGUUGUAAACAACAAAACCUGAUCUAAGUUACAAUGAAAAACACAUACUUAUGUAUACCGAAACAAAGUUGAGUUGGCAGCGCUCCAUCCUAAUUGCUGUCAAAGUCAAAUGCAUCUACAACCAUCUGACGGUUGCCUACAUAAGUAUAUCGGAACUUCAAAACAGUUCGUGGGCAGUGCUUGUGAUUUGCGCUCGUAAUGAUCUGUGCAGGGUUAAAAUUUAUAAUUUUUAGAAUUUCUAUAUGCUGGUGGUUUUACAAAAAUCCAUUAUAAGUUCGACAUUAGAGGAUAGAUAUCAACUCCGGGAUACUGAAUGUCUUUGUCAAGAUCUCAUAUACAUAUAUUAGUGUGGGGCCACUAUCGGUGCUGCUACACUGCCACUGAAAGAAAGAGAAAUCAGUUUGUAUAUAGGAAGUUGAUUGUCAAAUGUUGAUAAUGACGAAACUAAUGGUGACCAUUCUGCGAAAAGAGCUAAUGUGUCAACGAUGUUGGUGGUGUUGGGUCAGUUACCUUCUUGAAAUAUAAUUCAGCCUCGUAUAAAAAUGGGUGAACCAUCGAAUAGUGAUAAUAUAAGUAAUGAUUGCCUCAUUUGUGACAAAAUCGGAUGUAGUUCUGAAUUAAUCUCUGAACUAGGAGAUAUUAUAAAAGUCACUAGAGGAAUAUCAACACUGAAAGUUGCUUCUGCCGAAAGAUCGGAUGGACUUUCUCAGUAUUUAAAAACUCGCGAAUUUGUAUACGUGCAUUCAGUAUGCAGACAAAAAUAUAUCAAUAAAGGGUGUAUUAAUUCUUAUUAAAAAAAAACACCACACCAGCAUGCUCUCCACCUAAAAAAAACUUCGAGCGGCUACUUCAAUUGAUUUUGAUUGGAAAAAUAUGUGCUUUUUUUGUGAAAAAGAAGCGGAUGAAAUGAAGGAAAAAAGAAAAUCCAAAUCUUCAAGACACCAAAUCAGCUACGUAACUACUUCUGAUUUCAAGAAAACGAUAUUAAAUUUAAGUGAAGAGAGAAGUGAAUAUUGUCGCAAUAUCCAUAAAAGAAUUGUAGGCGUGCUAGAUUUAGCAGCUCAGGAAGCUAAGUAUCACGCUGAUUGUUAUAUGCGUUUAAAAAAUACCGUAAAACAGACCCAGAGAGACAAAAGAAUUCAUCCAGUCGCAAUACAAGUAAAUGCAGCAAUGGAGCAGAUUUUAAAACAUAUUGAAGAAAACGAUAACUGUCAGUUUUCACUGGCAGAAUCAAAAAGUAUUGUAACAUUUGACCAUAUUCCUGACGAUAAAACAAUAAAAAUGAGGUUGACGAAUCAUUAUGAGGAUAAUAUUGUAUUCUCCAGUAAAUUUGGAUCCAAUACAAUAAUAUGUUUUAAAAAACAACAAGACGAAAUAAAAAAAAAAUCGAGUCCG